UGUGGGCGUGGCUACCGAGCGAGGGGCGGGGCUUCGCCAAGCCCCACCCCCAGGCUGAAGCCCACACAACCAGGGGUCCAACGGGGGAGCCCAACGCCUCUUUGGACGGAUUACGAAGCUGAGACUUCCCCCGGGUGACGCUAGCUAGCUACCCGCCAUGUUAAUCCAGAGUCCCUCAGAAAAACAGAGAGGUGUCAGAGGGAUUUUGAAUGGAAAAGCUGAACAAAGAGAAACCAGAUCCUGCUGGAUAAAUCAGCAUUAAAAGGAAAGGAAGGAUGUUUAACCCUCAAAAUCCCUGACAUCUGGAACUAAAAACCUGCUUCAGCUGGGUGUCUGGAAGCACCAAAUGGUGUCCAAGAAGUCACUGCUGCUCUGCACCACUGGAACUCAACACUCCAGAUCUCAGGCAGGAGGCAAAGGGGGACACUGAGCCUGGGAACCACUCAGAUCCGGGGCUCCUGCUCCGUGAAGUCACCUCUUUGCAGGAAAAACAAUUACAGGCCUUGGAUGGAAGGGGGGUAGCAGUGAUUCAGAGCUGCCCCCAGGAUCCCGCCUUUGAACUGACACAAACCAAGGAACUUCUGGGAAAUGGCCAAAGCAAACAGGCUUGCCUCCCUCCCUCCAACAAAAGACCAGAGGUACUCAGAAGCUUGGACUCCCCUGAGCUCCCUCUAAAUAACAAGAAAAAGAAUAGACAGGCUGUUCCUACUCAGCCAUGGCUUGCAUUUUACAAAGGCGAGAGAAACAUCCCAUCACACUUAGGGUGAGGAGAAAGAGGAAGCAAGAGCAGACUCCUGCCAUGUGGCAGACUGAUCCCAGAGCAGAUACCCACCCUAAUGAGAAACUGGAUUCCAGCUAAGACAAAUACGGGUUUUUUAAAGCUCAUUCCACCACCAAAGCGGCCCCAGUAGACAGCAGUGUGGCCUUCUGACAUUGGCAUCCCUCAUCCCCUUUGAGCCUGGACUUUAUUGAACAUGGUUCUGCCUGUGGGCUAAAGAGCUCGCCCUAGCCUUAGCAUUCUCCACAUAAUGAGUGUGUCUCGUUUCUAUUUCUGUAGAAUUUGAUGAGGGAUGAUAACAGGGUAAUUGAAUUCGUUUUUUUUCUUUCGGUGCCAGCCUCCCUGCCCUCUGGCUCUGAGGUUUCAUGCAUUGUCCUCCUGGCUUUUUAAAUUUCCUUUCUUACAGUUGGCAUGGGAGGGGAGGGAAACUUUCUUACAUUUUAUCUUCCUGGGGAAUAAUAUCUAAUAUGUCCGUAGUAAAUGUGUGGACCAUGGGAUUUUAUAACUGGAAGGAUUCCAAAGAUAGUCUCCUUGUGCCAUAGAUUAGGAAAUUGUAGGCUCAGAAGAUGUAAGAAACUUCCUCAAAGUUUUGCUUCCCCACCCAGAAUUGGGAAAAGGGGUCAUUUGAGGGAGCAAAAUGAAUGAGGUCCUUAAAAAAGACAAUUCUUUUUCCCCUAAAUGUCACUAAACACAGUGACAUCACAUAGUCAAUGCUUACUAAAGGCUUGGCGACUGAUCUACCCAGGAUACCAGAGUGGUGCAGCAGAGAGAGCCCAGUAGUACUUACUACAAGCCAGCCACUGUGCCAAGCGCAUUACAAAUAUUAUCUGACUUGAUCCUCACAACAGCCCAGCAAAGUUUUAUGGUUGAGGAGCCUGAAUCACUUGGCCAGAGUCAUGCAUCUAGGAACUGUCUGAGGCCAGAUUUGAACUUUGGUUUUUCUGACUCCACGUUCAGUGUUCUAUCCAUGGAGCUACUUAUUUACGUUGAACAUCACAUUGUCAAUCGAGAGCUAGAGGAAACCUCCUAGGUCCUCUCAUCCAACUUGGGGAGAUCCAUAAAGGUGAAGUAAUUUGCCCAGUGUCCCACAGGCAGUGUUACAGGUGAGAGUUGAACACUGUCACCCUCUGGCUUCCCACACUGUUCCUUCUGCUUCCAGAUCCCAUGAAUAAGUCUCUACUGACCCAGUCUUCAGGCACUUGGGACCCUGCUGCCUCUGUGUGGUUCUAGAUAAAUGCCAUCAAGAAAGGAAAUAUGAGGAGAGAAAGCCAAACUUAAAGGGAUCAACACAUCUAGACCUGAUGAGAGUCAGGAUCUUUGAGAUUCAUUUUGGGGAGAGGAAAGAGAACUAGAGUGCAUUUCACCAAAAGCCCUUACCUCACCAGCCUUGACCAUAUCUACAAGGAAACGUGGAAGGAAAGAGGGAAAGAGAUAAGAAAUAUUUUACAAAGUUAUAACUCUUCCUGUGUCCCCACCCCCCUUGAAGAACUGGGAGACCAGGAUUUUAAUGUCAGAAGGCCCAAGGAUCUAUGCCAGUUCCCCCCCUCCCCAAUUCAAGUUAAUAAAACAUGUCUAAGCACCUACUGUGUGCAACAGAGUAGA
ensembl:lncRNA